rnacentral:rRNA from 1 species
UCAGCGAGGUGCGAGGGCUGUCGCUGACCUUUCAAGGUUGUGCACGCUCGAGUGCU